CCUACGGGUGGCAGCAGUGGGGAAUAUUGGACAAUGGGCGAAAGCCUGAUCCAGCCAUGCCGCGUGUGUGAAGAAGGCCUUCGGGUUGUAAAGCACUUUCAGUGGGGAAGAAAGCCUUGGGGCUAAUACCCUCGAGGAAGGACAUCACCCACAGAAGAAGCACCGGCUAACUCCGUGCCAGCAGCCGCGGUAAUACGGAGGGUGCGAGCGUUAAUCGGAAUUACUGGGCGUAAAGCGCGCGUAGGCGGUCUGAUAAGCCGGUUGUGAAAGCCCCGGGCUCAACCUGGGAACGGCAUCCGGAACUGUCAGGCUAGAGUGCAGGAGAGGAAGGUAGAAUUCCCGGUGUAGCGGUGAAAUGCGUAGAGAUCGGGAGGAAUACCAGUGGCGAAGGCGGCCAUCUGGACUGACACUGACGCUGAGGUGCGAAAGCGUGGGUAGCAAACAGGAUUAGAUACCCGAGUAGUC
rnacentral:rRNA from 1 species